rnacentral:rRNA from 1 species
GACGAACGCUGGCGGCGUGCUUAACACAUGCAAGUCGAACGGAAAGGCCCUGCUUUUGUGGGGUGCUCGAGUGGCGAACGGGUGAUUAACACGUUAGUAACCUGCCCUUGACUUUGGGAUAACUUCAGGAAACUGGGGCUAAUACCGGAUAGGAGCUCCUGCUGCAUGGUGGGGGUUGGAAAGUUUCGGCGGUUGGGGAUGGACUCGCGGCUUAUCAGCUUGUUGGUGGGGUAGUGGCUUACCAAGGCUUUGACGGGUAGCCGGCCUGAGAGGGUGACCGGCCACAUUGGGGCUGAGAUACGGCCCAGACUCCUACGGGAGGCAGCAGUGGGGAAUAGUGCACAAUGGGCGGAAGCCUGGUGCAGCAACGCCGCGUGCGGGAUGACGGCCUUCGGGUUGUAAACCGCUUUCGCCUGUGACGAAGCGUGAGUGACGGUAAUGGGUAAAGAAGCACCGGCUAACUACGUG